GAUGAAGAACGCAGUGAAAUGCGAUAAGUAGUGUGAAUUGCAGAAUUCAGUGAAUCAUCGAAUCUUUGAACGCACAUUGCGCCCUUUGGUAUUCCAAAGGGCAUGCCUGUUCGAGCGUCAUUUGUACCCUCAAGCUUUGCUUGGUGUUGGGCGUCUUGUCUCUAGCUUUGCUGGAGACUCGCCUUAAAGUAAUUGGCAGCCGGCCUACUGGUUUCGGAGCGCAGCACAAGUCGCACUCUCUAUCAGCAAAGGUCUAGCAUCCACUAAGCCUUUUUUUCAACUUUUGACCUCGGAUCAGGUAGGGAUACCCGCUGAACUUAAGCAUAUCAAUAAGCGGAGGA
rnacentral:misc_RNA from 1 species